rnacentral:rRNA from 1 species
GGAGGAGGCAAGCGUUGUCCGGAAUCAUUGGGCGUAAAGAGCGCGUAGGCUGUUCUUCAAGUCAUAUGUGAAAACCUCAGGCUUAACUUGAGGACUGCAUAUGAAACUGGGAAACUUGAGUGCAGUAGGGGAAAGUGGAAUUCCUGGUGUAGCGGUGAAAUGCGCAGAUAUCAGGAAGAACACCGGUAGCGAAGGCGGCUUUCUGGGCUGCUACUGACGCUGAGGCGCGAAAGCUAGGGGAGCAAACAGGAUUAGAUACCCUGGUAGUCCUAGCUGUAAACGAUGGGCACUAGGUGUGGGAAGUUAUCGACGCUUUCCGUGCCGGAGCUAACGCAUUAAGUGUCCCCGCCUGGGGAGUACGGUCGCAAGACUA